UACGGAGGAUGCGAGCGUUAUCCGGAUUUAUUGGGUUUAAAGGGAGCGUAGGUGGGAUAUUAAGUCAGCUGUGAAAGUUUGGGGCUCAACCUUAAAAUUGCAGUUGAUACUGGUUUCCUUGAGUACGGUACAGGUGGGCGGAAUUCGUGGUGUAGCGGUGAAAUGCUUAGAUAUCACGAAGAACUCCGAUCGCGAAGGCAGCUCACCGGGCCGGAACUGACACUGAUGCUCGAAAGUGCGGGUAUCAAAC
rnacentral:rRNA from 1 species